rnacentral:rRNA from 1 species
AUUGAACUCUGGCGGCAGGCCUAACACAUGCAAGUCGAACGAGUGGCGGACGGGUGAGUAAUGCCUGGGAAACUGCCCGGUGGAGGGGGAUAACUACUGGAAACGGUAGCUAAUACCGCAUACCCUCGGUUGUGUCCAGAUGGGAUUAGCUAGUAGGUUGGGUAACGGCUCACCUCGGCGACGAUCCCUCGCUGGUCGGAGAGGAUGACCAGCCACACUGGAGCUGUGACACGGUCCAGCUUCCUACGGGAGGCAGCGGUGGGGAAGAUUGCACAAUGGGCGAAAGCCUGAUGCAGCAAUGCCGCGUGUAUGAAGAAGGCCUUCGGGUUGGAAAGUACUGGCAGCGGGGAGGCGUUACUCGCAGAAGAAGCACCGGCUAACUCCGUGCCAGCAGCCGCGGUAAUAC